GUCGUAACAAGGUUUCCGUAGGUGAACCUGCGGAAGGAUCAUUAUUGAAUACUAUCGAGCGCUGUGCUGGCCUUUCGGGGCAUGUGCACGCGUUCUUUAUUAUAUCUAUCUCUUGUGAACCUAGUGUGGGCUUUGGAGGAACAGUUGGUCUUUGUGCCUUCUGGGAUUCUGAAGACCAUUUUUAUAAACAUUUAAAAAGUUAACAGAAUGUCUUCUUUUUACUUCGGUAAAAAUAAAACCUAUACAACUUUCAGCAACGGAUCUCUUGGCUCUCCCAUCGAUGAAGAACGCAGCGAAAUGCGAUAAGUAAUGUGAAUUGCAGAAUUCAGUGAAUCAUCGAAUCUUUGAACGCACCUUGCGCCCUUUGGUAUUCCGAAGGGCAUGCCUGUUUGAGUGUCAUUAAAUUCUCAACCUUGAAAGGCUUGUCUUUUCAAUGGCUUGGAUGUGAGGGUUUUGCUGGCUUCCUUCAGUGGAUGGUCUGCUCCCUUUAAAAGCAUUAGUGGGAUCCUUUGUGGACGGUCACUUGGUGUGAUAAUUAUCUACGCCGUUUGUACUGUGAAGCAAAACUUGUGGGAACCUGCUUAUAACCGUCUGUAAUG
rnacentral:rRNA from 1 species